CCGCUAAUGUUCGGUUUAUUUUGGUCGACUGGAUUAUGAGUUUGGUCUGAUUUCUGAGUUUAGGUUUGGUUUGAUAAAUUAGUGAAACUCUGAGUUUUGUGCUUCACCAGAUUAGGGCUUCUAUGUUAUCCUCCAUCCAGAACUGAACCUCGCCGUCUCUGCUUUUCAUACUCUCAUCUCUUUGCCUCCCCAAUCGUUAUCUCUUGGCCUUCCCUAUGGUUCAUUGUAUUUGUUUUAAUUCUGUCAUAAUUGUUACCACACUGAAUCCAUCCAGUAUCCAUGUCGACGCCUCCAUUUCCUUCAUCUCAAAUCUAUAUGAGCGGAUUGAGAGUACGACGGAUGUUCAGAACCGCUUUCAGUUUGUCACUUUAUCAAGCGUAGAAGAUAUAUCAACUCAUGUGCUAGGACACAGUCUAUCAUGAUGGUCACCAUUGUUAAUCCUAAAAUAUUUGAAGGUAACCUAUACCUCAACUCCACGCCAGCAACAAAGUUUUAUUAUAAAACUUCAAGCCAUCGCAGAAUUUACAGCCAGCUGAGAAGGCCCUAUUGGUCAAGCUUUUCCCUUUACCGAUACCAAAGAAGGGAUAAAAAAGAAUGAAGUUGUUUCAAUAGGAGGGCUAAACAAGUCUGUUUCCAAUUCUGACGAGCAGCCAAGUUCAGUGUACACCAGGCCAUGGUAUCCAAUGAUAAGCAUCAGAAGGCUUUCCUAGAAAGUGCUAAAGCCCAAGCAGAACUCAAGUUCACUUAUGUUUUUUCUUGUCAGGUCUAUGGAAACCAGAAAAAGUCUGGUGAUAUCCACAACAGGAGUUGCUACACAAAUAUUCUGCAGCUCAUGCUGAAAUAUCCAUCACUACAGGUUGCUUAUGUAGACGAGAGGGAAGAGACAGCAGAUGCUAAAUCUCUCAAGGUCUUCUACUUUUUUCUCAAAGGAGGUGGCAAGUUUUAUUUAAAGAAAUCUAUCGUAUCAAGCUUCCUGGUCCACCAGCUGAAAUUGGUAAGGAAAACCUGAGAAGCAAAACCAUACUAUCAUACUUACACGUGGUGAAGCGUUGCAGACUAUAGAUAUGAAUCAAGACAACUACUUUGAAGAAGCUUUCAAGUUAAGAAAUGUGUUGGAGGAGUUUAAAGGAGCGUGUUGGUAGCCGCAAGUCAACAAUUUUGGGUCUCAGAAAACAUAUAUUUACCGGAAGUGUUUCUUCAUUUGCAUGGUUCAUGUCCAAUCAUGAAAGUAGCUUCUUGACAAUUAGCCAAAGAUUCUUGGCAAAUCCUCUGAGGUUCUGUUUUUUGGGUUGUUUAGAGAAAUAUGAACAUUUCGGGUGUUUGUAAGUUCUGUCUGGUUUCAUCAUCAAUGCAAACAAAACUGUCGACGUCGAGUAUGGAGAAGCAUCCACUUCUGUUUCUGCCACCAACACGGCAACAACUGAGGUCAAAGAAGGUGGCUCCAACGCCUCAAGUGAGUGAGAGUUUGAAAGCAACCCAAACGUGAACCCAAUGCUCCUACCGUAUCUUUACUAAUUUCUCUACUACGAUGCAUAUCUUCUUCAAGACUUUACAGUUUCUCCUUUAUUUCCUGUUUUUUUCUUUAAAAAAAUCACUCAAAUAUACCUCAUCGGAGGAUAACAGUUUCUCAUUUUAAUAUAUGAAAGAGGUUCACGUUAUACUUACACUUCAAUUACAAGUUGAGAUAUCCCAAUACUAAACAAGAAUAAUCAACAUAUACGCCCAAAGACUUUUAUUAGUCUUCGAAUAAAAUUUCCCCAUAUAAAAAUUCACUCUUCCUCCUUUACAUUUAUAAGAAUUGUAAUAAUCUCCACUCUUCUUUACCACAUCUCUUCCCGCUUCUCCUUCUUAACACUUCUCCUUCUUAUACAUCUCUAACCUUCUCCUACACUCCACAUACAUUAUCUACUACCACAUUUGAUUUUUCCUAACAUCCCCGCGCUUGCGCGGGGCUCCG